AAUCUAGGAUGAGUUAAUUAUUUAUUCUCAUAUGUCGUACAUUUAUUUAUGUAACGCGCACAUAAGCGUUUGCUCGUGUAGAUAAUCUAUAUUAGUGAUAGAUGAACAUUAUUAUGGUAUUUCGAAAAUUAUUUAGAUAAUGUCUCUACAACCGCGAUGGCUCGAUGAGGAUAAAAAAAUUUUUUAAUUCGUGCCAACUGUUAGUCUUGACACGCUAUUAUGCGUGAAAAGUACGAGAUUAUGAUGGGGAGGGAAAAGAAAAAUUUUUUUUCUUUCACAUACAGGUCCAGUGAAAUUUAUUAAGAUAAAAUAUUAAUAGUGCGUGUAUAAAAAUUUAUCGAAUUUAAUUUUUCAAUUUUUUCUACUCAGUAUAAAGUUUUGUUUGUGUAAUUAUUUGUGUACUGAUCAUCAUCAUUUACAUCAGCAGUCAUAAAUUAAUAUCCAUUUUGAUUAAAAAAAAAAAAAAAAAAUGAUAAAAUAAGCGCAGAGUUUAAAAUAUUUAAAAAAGCCUGGGAAAAAUUUCAAGUGCACCGAAAAUAAAAAACAAGUGUGCUAAAGUAAAUCUGGAAAACCUCAUCGGUCAGAUUGUGACAUCAGUUACUACCUUGAUUUGAUUAUUUUCAUCUACCAGAUGAAUUUAAGAUUUUUUCUAAGCAGAUGGGUCACUUGAACGUAACAGUGAGAUACGUUCCCUCAAGUGCCCGAAGGUCGAAACGAGAUUGCACAUAAUAUGCGAAGCGGAAUAGAAGGAAAUGGUGCGGCGACGAGAAAGCACGAGAAGGGAAGAGUGUACGGCAGUCAGAAUUUAUGGCCGCUUUAUCACUUUGCUGGCCUUGCCGCACGCGUUUACCGUAUGAGAGGAGGGCGCCGGGAUCUUCACCGAUGAACUUUGGCACUCGACUUUACAGACACUUUUCUAAAACUACGAGCGGUUCAUAAAAUUGGGUAACACAGAGUUGAAAAAGCAAAAUUUCAUUCUUCACUCUAUUAUCGUCGACUUCAGGAUUAUGUAUUACCUAGUAACGAUGGACGAGGACUAAAUGCAAAAGCUUGUAAGGGCAGCACAUUAGCAACCUCUGAGAGGGAAACAAAACAUUCACAAAAUUAGCCCGAUGUCCGGAUGACGGCGACUACCCUCGGGGGUGGGUGU